rnacentral:rRNA from 1 species
CUUACAAUUGCGAUGGGGGGGACGGAGAAGGCUAGGUGGGCCUGGCGACGGUUGUCCAGGUUCAAGUGCGUAGGCUUAAGAGUUAGGUAAAUCCGGCUCUUUUUAAGGCUGAGACACGACGUCGAGCACCUACGGGUGUGAAGUCAUUGAUGCCAUGCUUCCAGGAAAAGCCUCUAAGCUUCAGAUUGUAAGGAAUCGUACCCCAAACCGACACAGGUGGUCGGGUAGAG